rnacentral:rRNA from 1 species
GAUGAACGCUGGCGGCGUGCCUAAUACAUGCAAGUCGAGCGAACAGACGAGGAGCUUGCUCCUCUGACGUUAGCGGCGGACGGGUGAGUAACACGUGGAUAACCUACCUAUAAGACUGGUAUAACUUCGGGAAACCGGUGCUAAUACCGGAUAAUAUAUUGAACCGCAUGGUUCAAUAGUGAAAGACGGUUUUGCUGUCACUUAUAGAUGGAUCCGCGCCGCAUUAGCUAGUUGGUAAGGUAACGGCUUACCAAGGCAACGAUGCGUAGCCGACCUGAGAGGGUGAUCGGCCACACUGGAACUGAGACACGGUCCAGACUCCUACGGGAGGCAGCAGUAGGGAAUCUUCCGCAAUGGGCGAAAGCCUGACGGAGCAACGCCGCGUGAGUGAUGAAGGUCUUCGGAUCGUAAAACUCUGUUAUUAGGGAAGAACAAAUGUGUAAGUAACUAUGCACGUAUUGACGGUACCUAAUCAGAAAGCCACGGCUAACUACGUG